AACGUAGGGCGCGAGCGUUGUCCGGAUUUAUUGGGCGUAAAGAGCUCGUAGGCGGCUUGUCGCGUCGACUGUGAAAACCCGCGGCUUAACUGCGGGACUGCAGUCGAUACGGGCAGGCUAGAGUUCGGUAGGGGAGACUGGAAUUCCUGGUGUGGCGGUGAAAUGCGCAGAUAUCAGGAGGAACACCGGUGGCGAAGGCGGGUCUCUGGGCCGACACUGACGCUGAGGAGCGAAAGCGUGGGGAGCGAACAGG
rnacentral:rRNA from 1 species